CGUUCGGUCAUUGUUUAGCUUAGGCUAGCCAACGUGCUAGCUGUCUUGCUGCAAAGGCCGCCACCAAAUUGAUAAUAUAUUAACAAAACCAACUGAUUUCAGUUCCUUUUACCACAAGUCGACAAUGAGUAAGAGGAAGGCCCCCGGGGAGUCCCUUAAUGAAGGGAUAACAGACUUCCUAGUGGAACUGGCCAAUUACGAGAAAAAUGUCAACCGAGCGAUACACAAAUACAAUGCCUACAGGAAAGCAGCAUCUACCAUUGCUAAGUACCCCCAGAAAAUCAAAAGUGGCACAGAGGCUAAGAAACUGGAUGGCGUGGGAGCAAAAAUUGCAGAGAAGAUAGAUGAGUUUCUGCAAACUGGCAAGUUACGGAAACUGGAGAAGAUCCGUAAUGAUGACACAAGCUCCUCCAUCAAUUUCCUUACCAGGGUCACUGGAAUUGGCCCUGCUGCUGCUAGGAAGUUCUUCGAUGAAGGAGUGAAGACACUAGAAGAUUUGAAAAAGAUUGAGCACAAGCUGAACCAUCACCAACAGAUUGGUCUCAAGUACUUUGAGGACUUUGAGAAAAGGAUCCCACGAGCUGAAAUGGAGAUUAUGGAAAGGCUGAUUCUAAAGGAGUUGGAGAAGAUAGACCCAGAAUAUAUUGGAACCAUCUGUGGCAGCUACAGGAGAGGUGCACAAUCCAGUGGUGAUAUUGAUAUCCUGCUGACCCACCCCGACUUCACCUCUCAGUCAGAGAAGCAGCCCAAGCUCCUUCAUGCAGUAGUAGAGCACUUGGAAUCCAUCGGGUUUGUAACGGAGACUCUGUCCAAAGGAGACACAAAGUUCAUGGGUGUCUGUCAGCUGCACAAGAGUGAUGAGGAUGAGGAAGAGUUCCUUCACAGGCGUAUUGACAUCAGGUGGAUACCAGAAACUGUUAAUUCCCAAGGACCAGUACUAUUGUGGUGUUCUCUACUUCACUGGGAGCGAUAUCUUCAAUAAGAACAUGAGAACUCAUGCUCUGGAGAAAGGCUUCACUCUCAAUGAGUACACCUUACGACCAGUUGGGGUUACUGGAGUGGCAGGGGAGCCUUUGCUGGUGGACAGUGAGAAGGAUAUCUUUGAGUACAUCCAAUACAAAUACAGAGAGCCCAAGGAACGCAGCGAGUGAAGUCAAUGAGAGAUCACAGCCUUCAAACAAUGAGGGAAACCACGAAUGAAGUUUAUGUGUUAGUAUAUCACUGCUCCAUGGCAUAAUCUUUCAUUUACUGUCCUAGCAUCUUUUUUUCCUGUUUUUCUUUUGGGGUUUUUUUUAACAAACAUUUGUGAAAGGUCAGUCAAAUUUUCGUCAGUCUUGGGGUGCCCGGCGGCUCACCUGGUACAGCGCAUACCAUAUAUAGGGCUGAGUCCUUACUGCAGUGGCCUGGGUUCGAAUCUGGCCCGGGCCCUUUGCUGCACGUCAUCUCCUCUGUCUUUCCUGUCUCUCUCUUGACUAUCACUAUCAAAUAAUAAUGAUAAUAAUAAAUUAAACUUAUAUAGCGCUUUUCUAACACUCAAAGUCACUUUACAAUAAAUGGGGUGAAACAAGAAAACAGAUAAACAUAACAAACAUACAGGGGUGGAUGGGAAGGGGGGCUACGAGAGGGAGAAGCGCCAGCCACACACGAUGCCAGUAGUACUCUCCAACUUAGACGGAUACAAAAGGGCAAGAAAAACAAAAAACAACAGCACUGUAGACGUUGAUUUUCUGUAGGGGUUUACUACCAUAGCAUAUUCCUCUAGGCAGUGGCACUAUUUAACCCAUAACUGGGGGUGGAAAAUAAAACAAAAGUGGAAAAUAAAAUAAAGGUGGAAAAUGCCUAAAAAAAAACAAUCUUGAGAAAACAAUCUUGAAAAAAAAAACAUGUCUUCCGUCUUAGGGAGUAUCAUUUUUUAAACCAGUAAAAUAUUCUCCUUUCAAUGAAAUUUUCACUACAACAUUUAAUUUUAUACCUGGGAAUUCUAUUAUAUUUAUUUGUGGAAUUUUACAAGAUGAUCCUUGUCAUGCAAAAAUGUAUUGCUUGAGAAUGAUUAUGCAAAGGCAUUUUUAAUAAUAGUGUCCCAGUAUCAUGUACCAAACUGGUAAAAUCCCUGCAUUAUAAUCAGUCUCCUUAACUCAGGCAUGGUUCUGUUAUUAGAAAUGAUUUGCUUACCUGUUUGUUUACCUUUUAAGAGGCUUUUGUAAAGUCCUGUGGCACACAGGGCACAGCGGCAUCUGCCAUCACUUCACAGUAUUGUAUUUAUUGAUGCAGAUAUUUAUCUCAACCUGAAAAUUGAGAGCAUGUGAUUUUAGGGCAUGUGGAUUUUGAAAAACACCGUAUGUGUUUCUCAUUCUGUCUGGAUGGACUGAUAAAGCAGUAGUGUGUUGCAUUUAUCUUAGGCUGGGUAUAAAAAAUGGAUUUGGAAAUGAGAGAUUAAUACUAAAGAUACCAGUAGAGUCUCCUAAGUGGUGUUAAUUUGUGUGUUUUGUGUUUGCUGGUGUAAUGUUACAAAUAUGAUCUGGGACAAAAUUCACCAUGUAUACCCCCCCCCCCCACUCCACCCCCCAUACCUCAGUGCACAUACAUUUCAUGUAAGAUUGAAAUUGUGAUGCCAUAUUAAGAUCUGAGUGUCGGGCCCUGAAAAGUGGGAAUAGGUUCAAGUUACUUUCCUCAAGGAUAGAUUUAAUUUGUUAGCUUUAAGGCAAUGCAUGUAUUGUACUUGCAGCUGUGUUAUAGGAUCAGUUUACAUGUUGUAGGCAUCAUUCUGUAAUGGACAGAUGUGAUAUAUUUUCUGAAUUCAUUCACAGGUCUUAAGUUUAUUAUUCAACUAAUGGAAACCUGUUAUUGGUGUUUAGGGAGGACUUUUUAUGAAAGGUUUGCAAUUUUGUGUGGUUUAUUAAAAACUUUCA